rnacentral:rRNA from 1 species
UACGAAGGGGGCUAGCGUUGCUCGGAAUCACUGGGCGUAAAGCGCACGUAGGCGGCUUGUUAAGUCAGGGGUGAAAUCCUGGAGCUCAACUCCAGAACUGCCUUUGAUACUGGCGAUCUUGAGUCCGGGAGAGGUGAGUGGAACUGCGAGUGUAGAGGUGAAAUUCGUAGAUAUUCGCAAGAACACCAGCGGCGAAGGCGGCUCACUGGCCCGGUACUGACGCUGAGGUGCGAAAGCGUGGGGAGCAAACAGG